UACGUAGGAGACGAGCGUGGUCCGGAGUUACUGGGCGUAAAGGGUGCGCAGGUGGCGGCGCGCGUGGGGGGUGAAAUCGCCCGGCUUAACUGGGCGGGGGCCUUCCAGACGGCGUGGCUUGAGCAGCGGAGGGGGACGUGGAAUUCCGGGUGGAGCGGUGAAAUGCGUAGAGAUCCGGAGGAACACCCGCGGCGAAGGCGGCCACCUGGACCAGACCUGACGCUGAGGCGCGAAGGCCGGGGGAGCGAACGGG
rnacentral:rRNA from 1 species